UAUUUGUUUCCUCAGCAGGUUGAAGUAAAGAACAAUUCCAAAGGCACGUCUACAGACAAAUAUUUCGUCUUACACCUCCACCACUAUGGCAUGGCCAAGUCAGAAGUGAGGAGAAUACUGGUAACAAUACCACUUUCAGAAAUGAUAACAUUUUUCUUCGGUGCCGUGCAGUCUUCAUUCCUGGACCUCCCGCUCUCACUGGGCCUGCUCUUCGGAUGGGUAUGCUGGUGCACAAUGAGGGCAGUCUUCUGGCAGAAGGACUUUCCACAGUCAUUACAUUUAUAAAAUAUCGGUUCACUAUGUCCUUCAUGAGCUACAACUUCUGCCUGGAACUCUGCUGGGGUAGAAAGAUGAACGGGAGCCACUAUGCCUGCCGUCAGGAAGCUUACAUGCUGCCGGAAAGGCAGAGUAAAUGCUUAUUACAUGUGGUAUGAACACUGAGUUUUAUGACAGAACAAAUGGUUGCAAGUUGGGAUAGCUAUUCGCAUAUAAAAUUAGAUUUCACUAGCUGGUCAAACUGAGAAUAUAAACUUUAGGAACAAAGAACACUGGCAAAGACAUAGCAACAUUAAAAAAAAAUGGAAAGGACCGGAAACUACAUGUAAAAUAGUGUAAGAACAGGACCGAGGACCAAGGCUCGUUAGAAGGUGAGAGAGUCAAGUCAGGUAACAGAACAUAAAGGAAUCUGAAUGCUGGACCGUGUCUCUGGAACAUUAAAAUAUAUCUGCGUGCCUACCGAUUAGGUGCCUGCUCCCAGAUACAACGGCUGGUCAACAUACAACAUUUGUAAAUAUAUUACUCUGCUUAUUAAAACGCGACAAGUUCUAUUCUGUUUAUAAAAGAACAGAAUAUGAGUAGAUGUUUUCUUUCAGGCUAUUUGGAUGCUUAGGCAUCUUUGGAGUGCGCCCUUUCACUUUGUAGGUGGGGAGACGGAUAGCAGGGGUCACUGACGGGACAGAUGUCAGAGAAAAGAACUUUAAAGUAGCAAAGACAAAUGGCCCGUGAGAAAAACAGACUGUUAGAAAAUUAAAAGAGCUAUGUGCAGUAAUAACAUGCAUGCUGCAGUACUGCAGUGAUGGGGCAAAGCGUAACAAUUCGGUAAUUACUGGAAAUGGACAGACAGGAUGGGCGAGGGCAGAAUGACUCAGUGUCUACUAAGUACCAGUGCUAAUUAGUAUCAUUCCUUCAUUUCUAUGGAUCAAAGUAUUUAAGGCUAUGAACUUUCCUCCAGUAACUGCUGUAUUUAUACUUAUGAGAUUAGAAUCUGAAAUGUAGCAUUUUCACUUGAAUAUUUGGCAGGCUGUAAAUUCUUAUCUCACUACUUUUUCUUGAAAAUACUGCAUUAUUCCUUUUAAAUAUAUUUACAUACUACUAACAUGA